rnacentral:rRNA from 1 species
GACGAACGCUGGCGGCGUGCUUAACACAUGCAAGUCGAACGGAAAGGCCUGCUUUCCCUUGUGGAUUGCGGGUACUCGAGUGGCGAACGGGUGAGUAACACGUGAGUGAUCUGCCCCCAACUUGGGUAUAAGCCUGGGAAACUGGGUCUAAUUCCCGAUAGUACUGCAGGGUGGUGCCUGUGGUGGAAAACGAUUUUCUAGUGCUUGGGGAUGAGCUCGCGGCCUAUCAGCUUGUUGGUGGGGUAAUGGCCUACCAAGGCGGCGAAGGGUAGCCGGCCUGAGAGGGUGGACGGCCACAGUGGGACUGCGAUACGGCCCAGACUCCUACGGGAGGCAGCAGUGGGGAAGAUUGCACAAUGGGCGGAAGCCUGAUGCAGCGACGCGGCGGGGGGGAUGACGGCCUUCGGGUUGUAAACUCCUUUCGACCGCGAGGAAGCCUCCUGGUUGGAAGGGUGGUGACGGUAGUGGUAGAAGAAGCACCGGCUAACUCCGUG